UACGUAGGAUGCAAGCGUUAUCUGGAUUCAUUGGGUUUAAAGGGUGCGUAGGCGGCCUGAUAAGUCAGUGGUGAAAUCUCCUCGCUUAACGAGGAAACUGCCAUUGAUACUGUCGGGCUUGAGUACAGAUGCUGUGGGCGGAAUAUGACAUGUAGUGGUGAAAUACAUAGAGAUGUCAUAGAACACCGAUUGCGAAGGCAGCUCACAAAACUGUAACUGACGCUGAGGCACGAAAGUGCGGGGAUCAAACAGG
rnacentral:rRNA from 1 species